UGGGGAAUAUUGCACAAUGGGCGCAAGCCUGAUGCAGCCAUGCCGCGUGUAUGAAGAAGGCCUUCGGGUUGUAAAGUACUUUCAGCGGGGAGGAAGGCGAUGUGGUUAAUAACCGCGUCGAUUGACGUUACCCGCAGAAGAAGCACCGGCUAACUCCGUGCCAGCAGCCGCGGUAAUACGGAGGGUGCAAGCGUUAAUCGGACUUACUGGGCGUAAAGCGCACGCAGGCGGUCUGUCAAGUCGGAUGUGAAAUCCCCGGGCUCAACCUGGGAACUGCAUCCGAAACUGGCAGGCUUGAGUCUCGUAGAGGGGGGUAGAAUUCCAGGUGUAGCGGUGAAAUGCGUAGAGAUCUGGAGGAAUACCGGUGGCGAAGGCGGCCCCCUGGACGAAGACUGACGCUCAGGUGCGAAAGCGUGGGGAGCAAACA
rnacentral:rRNA from 1 species